rnacentral:rRNA from 1 species
GAUGAACGCUGGCGGCGUGCCUAAUACAUGCAAGUCGAGCGAACAGAUGAGGAGCUUGCUCCUCUGACGUUAGCGGCGGACGGGUGAGUAACACGUGGAUAACCUACCUAUAAGACUGGGAUAACUUCGGGAAACCGGAGCUAAUACCGGAUAAUAUAUUGAACCGCAUGGUUCAAUAGUGAAAGACGGUUUUGCUGUCACUUAUAGAUGGAUCCGCGCCGCAUUAGCUAGUUGGUAAGGUAACGGCUUACCAAGGCAACGAUGCGUAGCCGACCUGAGAGGGUGAUCGGCCACACUGGAACUGAGACACGGUCCAGACUCCUACGGGAGGCAGCAGUAGGGAAUCUUCCGCAAUGGGCGAAAGCCUGACGGAGCAACGCCGCGUGAGUGAUGAAGGUCUUCGGAUCGUAAAACUCUGUUAUUGGGGAAGAACAUAUGUGUAAGUAACUAUGCACGUCUUGACGGUACCUAAUCAGAAAGCCACGGCUAACUACGUG